rnacentral:rRNA from 1 species
GACGAACGCUGGCGGCGUGCUUAACACAUGCAAGUCGAACGGAAAGGCCCUGCUUGCAGGGUACUCGAGUGGCGAACGGGUGAGUAACACGUGGGUGGUCUGCCCCGCACUUCGGGAUAAGCCUGGGAAACUGGGUCUAAUACCGACUAGGUGCCAUUUUUAGUGUGAUGGUUGGAUAGUUUUUUCGGUGUAGGAUGAGUUCGCGGCCUAUCGGCUUGUUGGUGUGGUAAUGGCCUACCAAGGCGGCUACGGGUAGCCGGGCUGUGUGGGUGGACGGCGACAUAGGGACUGAGAGGCGGCCCAGACACCGACGGGAGGGAGCAGGGGGGAAGAUUGAAGAAGGGGCGCAAGCCGGGUGCAGCGACGCCGCGUGGGGGAUGACGGCCUUCGUGGGGUAAACUCCUUUCGCAAGGGACGAAGCUUGUUGUGACGGUACCUAGAUAAGAAGCACCGGCUAACUACGUG